GGACAGACCUCAAAGACGGUUCUCAGCUUGGAGCGAAAAUUGUAGAAUGAUCGGAAUCCUUCACUGCAGCAACUGCAGAUUAUCGUUCGGACUUUGAUUUCCGCUAGGGUUUCUCUGAGUUCUCUACCGUCUCAUGGAGGACUUCGCCUUUCACGAUGGCAACGUAUGCGCUUUGCUUGAGAGCAGGCACAUCAACUUUCGUCAAGAUCUCACCUAUGGUUUGCAGAUGCACUCAUCAUUCAUCCAAAGACUCUCCCAGGAAAAGGAACUGGAGGGGCACCAGGGGUGUGUUAAUGCAGUGGCCUGGAAUUCUCGUGGUUCACUUUUGAUAUCUGGAUCAGAUGACACUCGAAUAAACAUCUGGAGCUAUUCUGGUCGAAAGCUAUUGCACUCUGUGGAUACUGGGCAUUCCGCAAACAUAUUUUGUACAAAAUUUGUUCCUGAAACGUCUGAUGAGCUUGUGGUCUCGGGAGCCGGGGAUGCAGAGGUUCGGUUGUUUAAUUUAUCUCGCUUAAAAGGGAGAGGACAAGAUGAUCAUCCCAUACCCUCAUCAGCUUUGUAUCGGUGUCACACCAGAAGAGUAAAAAAAUUAGCUGUUGAAAUAGGAAAUCCAAAUGUAGUAUGGAGUGCUAGUGAGGAUGGGACUCUUAGACAGCACGACUUUCGAGAGGGCAUGUCUUGUCCUCCUGAUGGAGCUUCUCACCAAGAAUGCCACAAUGUUCUUCUUGAUUUGCGGUGUGGAGCAAAGAGGUCAUUGGCUGAUCCUCCCCGACAAACCCUUGCUUUGAAAUCCUGUGAUAUUAGUUCCACUAGGCCUCAUUUACUUCUGGUUGGUGGAAGUGAUGCAUUUGCACGGUUAUAUGAUAGAAGGAUGCUGCCACCCUUGUCUUCCGGCCAGAAGAAGAUGUCGCCACCUCCUUGUGUUAGCUACUUCUGUCCAAUGCAUCUAUCUGAUCGGGUUCGAUCGGGUUUGCAUUUGACUCAUGUUACUUUUAGUCCGAAUGGAGAAGAGAUCCUGCUUAGCUAUAGUGGAGAACAUGUAUACUUGAUGAAUGUAAAUCAUGCUGGACUAGGUACAAUGCAGUAUACAUCAGGAGAUGUUUCUAAGUUAAUGAGCUUCACUCCUGUACUCAACGGAUUCGAAUUGCAGCAUCAUGUUUCCAAUCUAUCUAAUAGUUUGCCUUUAAAUUGUGCAAAGCUUGAUAAAUGCAGAAAAUUAUUACAAACUGCUGAAAAAUGCUUGGAGGGUGGGAACUACUUUGGUGGAAUUGAAGCAUGCAACGAAAUUUUGGAUGGAAAUGGUCGUAAUAUUAGUGUUAUUUUUAAGCACGAUUCAUUAUGCACUCGUGCUGCUUUACUACUCAAGCGGAAGUGGAAGAAUGAUGUUCAUAUGGCCAUAAGAGAUUGUUACAGUGCUAGGAAAAUAGAUCAUUCCUCUUUCAGAGCACAUUACUACAUGUGCGAAGCUCUAUCACAGUUGGGUAGACAUAAGGAAGCCCUAGAUUUUGCAUUUGCUGCUCAGUGUUUAUCCCCGUCUAAUUCUGAAGUCGCAGAGAAGGUGGAAAGUAUAAAGAGGGACCUCGCAGCAGCUGAAUUGGAAAAAUCAAAUAAAGGCAAUGAUGGAGCUCUAAAAUCAGCACCAUCAGGUGGUGUAUUAUCAUUAAGUGACUUUCUUUAUCGCUCAGAUGCGAAUAGUGAUGUUUCACAAGAUGGGCUGAGAUCAGAAAGAGAAGAUUCUGAUUAUGAUGAGGAGGUGGAGCUCGACUUUGAAACCUUAUCUGGUGAUGAAUCCCAUGAUGUUGAUUCCAACGUUCUACAUGGAAGUUUAAAUCUUAGAAUACAUAGACGUGUUGAUCCAGCAAGAGAGAGGGUUGGUCCAAACGGCUCCUGUGGGUCUCCAUCAUCCCAAAAUGAUGCAACACUUUAUCAGCCUGAACCUGUGAUUGAUAUGAAACAAAGAUAUGUUGGUCAUUGUAAUAUCGGAACUGAUAUUAAACAAGCCAGUUUUCUCGGGCAAAAAGGUGAAUAUGUUGCCAGUGGUAGUGAUGAUGGUAGAUGGUUUAUUUGGGAAAAGAGAACUGGUAGGCUGAUUAAAAUACUUGUUGGAGAUGGAGCUGUUGUGAAUUGCGUGCAAAGUCAUCCAUUUGAUUGUGCAAUUGCUACGAGUGGGAUCGACAAUACCAUAAAGCUAUGGACUCCAACUGCUCCAGUUCCAUCAGUCGUAGCCGGAGGAGCGGUUGGGCCACAGGCAGCCGACGUAUUGUCUGCAAUAGAGAACAAUCAACGCAGACUUUCCCGUAAUAGAGAAGCCAUACUGUUUGUUUUUGGACUAAGAGGAAAUAUGUCCCAACCAUGGUUGCUACCUACUUAAGAUCCUAACUUCCUUGACACAAAUUUUGUAGGAUUAGGUUGGCUUAGUGAGAAUAAGGCCUUUUGAAAUUUUGGAGCGGUUUAGGAUGCAUGAUUUCUCAGAAGGAAGCCUUCAUCCAUUUGAAUGUGCUCAGAGUUGAUAUUGUAGGCUUUUUUUUGUUUAUAAUGGAUUCACUAAGAUUGGAAUAGCCAUAGUUGGUGAAUAGCGGAGUUUAACACACCGAACAUAUCGUUCCAACAGACUUCUAUGAGUUGAGUCAGGUCAAGAUGAGAAGCCUCAUUCAAGUUCUCAAUAUCUAUAACAUUUAACGGUCAAAGCUAUACUAUUUUUAUGGGUGUUAUUUGAUUUUCUUCCUUUUUGCCUUUGUAAAUUUUUGUAAAUGUUCAUUUUGUUGCUUUUUCUUUUUUUCUUUUUCUUCUUUUUAAUAACUUGCCGUUUUUCCAUCACAAUUUCUUUCAUUUUCCUAUAUUUGGUUCAUGUUUACGUUAUAAUGUACAGAAUAAAAUAAAGUCGGCAAAUGGUUCGAGUA